GGGCGUUUAGCUCAGUUGGCUAGAGCACCUGAAUGACAUUCAGGGGGUCACAGGUUCAAGCCCUGUAAUGCCCACCA
rnacentral:tRNA from 1 species